rnacentral:lncRNA from 1 species
AAUGGCCUUUCUCUAUACAAAGAAUAAACAGGCUGAGAAAGAAAUUAGGGAAACAACACCCUUCUCAAUAGUCACAAAUAAUAUAAAAUAUCUUGGCGUGACUCUAACUAAGGAGGUGAAAGAUCUGUAUGAUAAAAACUUCAAAUCUCUGAAGAAAGAAAUUAAAGAAGAUCUCAGAAGAUGGAAAGAUCUCCCAUGCUCAUGGAUUGGCAGGAUCAACAUUGUAAAAAUGGCUAUCUUGCCAAAAGCAAUCUACAGAUUCAAUGCAAUCCCCAUCAAAAUUCCAACUCAAUUCUUCAACGAAUUGGAAGGAGCAAUUUGCAAAUUUGUCUGGAAUAACAAAAAACCUAGGAUAGCAAAAAGUCUUCUCAAGGAUAAAAGAACUUCUGGCGGAAUCACCAUGCCAGACCUAAAGCUUUACUACAGAGCAAUUGUGAUAAAAACUGCAUGGUACUGGUAUAGAGACAGACAAGUAGACCAAUGGAAUAGAAUUGAAGAUCCAGAAAUGAACCCACACACCUAUGGUCACUUGAUCUUCGACAAGGGAGCUAAAACCAUCCAGUGGAAGAAAGACAGCAUUUUCAACAAUUGGUGCUGGCACAACUGGUUGUUAUCGUGUAGAAGAAUGCGAAUCGAUCCAUACUUAUCUCCUUGUACUAAGGUCAAAUCUAAGUGGAUCAAGGAACUUCACAUAAAACCAGAGACACUGAAACUUAUAGAGGAGAAAGUGGGGAAAAGCCUUGAAGAUAUGGGCACAGGGGAAAAAUUCCUGAACAGAACAGCAAUGGCUUGUGCUGUAAGAUCGAGAAUGGACAAAUGGGACCUAAUGAAACUCCAAAGUUUCUGCAAGGCAAAAGACACCAUCAAUAAGACAAAAAGACCACCAACAGAUUGGGAAAGGAUCUUUACCUAUCCUAAAUCAGAUAGGGGACUAAUAUCCAACAUAUAUAAAGAACUCAAGAAGGUGGACUUCAGAAAAUCAAAUAACCCCAUUAAAAAAUGGGGCUCAGAACUGAACAAAGAAUUCUCACCUGAGGAAUACCGAAUGGCAGAGAAGCACUUGAAAAAAUGUUCAACAUCCUUAAUCAUCAGGGAAAUGCAAAUCAAAACAACCCUGAGAUUCCACCUCACACCAGUCAGAAUGGCUAAGAUCAAAAAUUCAGGUGACAGCAGAUGCUGGCGAGGAUGUGGAGAAAGAGGAACACUCCUCCAUUGUUGGUGGGAGUGCAGGCUUGUACAACCACUCUGGAAAUCAGUCUGGCGGUUCCUCAGAAAACUGGACAUAGUACUACCGGAGGAUCCAGCAAUACCUCUCCUGGGCAUAUAUCCAGAAGAUGCCCCAACAGGUAAGAAGGACACAUGCUCCACUAUGUUCAUAGCAGCCUUAUUUAUAAUAGCCAGAAGCUGGAAAGAACCUAGAUGCCCCUCAACAGAGGAAUGGAUACAGAAAAUGUGGUACAUCUACACAAUGGAGUACUACUCAGCUAUUAAAAAGAAUGAAUUUAUGAAAUUCCUAGCAAAAUGGAUGGACCUGGAGGGCAUCAUCCUGAGUGAGGUAACACAUUCACAAAGAAACUCACACAAUAUGUAUUCACUGAUAAGUGGAUAUUAGCCCCAAACCUAGGAUACCCAAGAUAUAAGAUAUAAUUUGCUAAACACAUGAAACUCAAGGAGAAUGAAGACUGAAGUGUGGACACUAUGCCCCUCCUUAGAUUUGGGAACAAAACACCCAUGGAAGGAGUUACAGAGACGGAGUUUGGAGCUGAGAUGAAAGGAUGGACCAUGUAGAGACUGCCAUAGCCAGGGAUCCACCCCAUAAUCAGCAUCCAAACGCUGACACCAUUGCAUACACUAGCAAGAUUUUAUUGAAAGGACGCAGAUGUAGCUGUCUCUUGUGAGACUAUGCCGGGGCCCAGCAAACACAGAAGUGGAUGCUCACAGUCAGCUAAUGGAUGGAUCAUAGGGCUCCCAAUGGAGGAGCUAGAGAAAGUAGCCAAGGAGCUAAAGGGAUCUGCAACCCUAUAGGUGGAACAACAUUAUGAGCUAACCAGUACCCCGGAGCUCUUGACUCUAGCUGCAUAUAUAUCAAAAGAUGGCCUAGUCGGCCAUCACUGGAAAGAGAGGCCCAUUGGACUUGCAAACUUUAUAUGCCCCAGUACAGGGGAAUACCAGGGCCAAAAAGGGGGAGUGGGUGGGCAGGGGAGUGGGGGUGGGUGGAUAUGGGGGACUUUUGGUAUAGCAUUGGAAAUGUAAAUGAGUUAAAUACCUAAUAAAAAAAUGGA